rnacentral:lncRNA from 10 species
AGCAAAGGCAGUAACACUGAACUGCUCCUUAACAAGACAGCGCUUCGGGGCUCUGUUAGCAGUCUCCUAACAGCCAAGGCUUGGGGUUCUUACUGUCCUUAAACACUUUCUAAUCCAGACCACAUGGACCUUACCAUCUUUUUUCUUUAAAUUAUCAAGAGGAGACCACAAGAUGAGGAAUACUUCACUGCAGGUGGUGAUAUGAAACUGACAAGUAGUUUAUAAACUAGCCCUACCCUAUUGCUUGGAGAAGCUUUAUAACUGAUUGUUUUAAUACCAAAGUGACACCAAAGGGGGUCAAGUAAAUAAAUAUGCAAGCCUCACCAGUUCAAAAUAAUAAAAUUCCAAUGUGUGCAAGCCUGCUUGUUGAACAUAUGUUUGAGGCACGGCUAAGCCAUCUGGCUCAGUGUCAAGCAUUUACACCAACUGUAGUCUUACAGUACCUGACAGCAGAAAAGCUUUAUUCCCCUGGUGUUUGGGCACAAAUGGAGAAAUAUUAUUGAAAUGAUUAUCUGCAUCAAGACUCAGAUUUGCUUUGACAUUUAGCUGGCUCUGUUUAAUCCAAAGGGUUGUCUGAAUGAAUAAAGAGAAGGGUUCCUCCAGAAGAUGCUGCGAGCAGCCAGGGAAAGCCAAAUGAUUAAUGAGACUGAAAGGCAGGGUGGACCUGCCCACCUCCACCCAGACCUCAGUGCCAAGAACUGAAUAUGAAAUUAGUCUAAAGCUUUCCGUGGCUUGUCAGGAAGAUUCUUCUACCCUCACAUGGGCUCUCAUUUUGGACUCUGGAACAAAAGAAAUGGAUACCUUACCCAAUAUGGAGGAAAUAGAGAGGCUGGGAGAGUGCUUCGUGUUAUAAUCAGAACAUUUCACAUUCAAACACUUUUUGCUUUUAACAGCUCUACCAGAGGCAUUUAGAUAUUACGUUAGGAGUAGAGUCUCUUUUCGGAAUUAGAAAGCUGCGGCUUGUCGCCUGGUUUCUGUUUUGGCAGCUGGUUUCUAUAUGCUAUGGUCCUUAUAUCAAGAUAAUUUCUUUUGGCUUAGAAUGCUAUGUUCCUCUGGUUAUUCUGUGUUGCCAUUCAUUUUAAGAUGCUAUAUUAAGCUGAGUUACUUGAAAAACGAGGUACAGUGCUAGUUUUAGCAUUCACCUGUGCUAGCAAAAUUCAGGCAUUUAGCCAAAAAAGAGACAUCUUUCAUAGUCAAAGACAAUUAGCAAUAAAAUAAAAUAUUAAUUUUAAAAUAAAACAGAAUAAUAACAACAAUAAUAGAAUAGGCAUCUUAAUUUGGAAAUCUUUAUCAAAGAUUUAUAGGUUGUCACUUAUUUCUUCAGGUAUAUUGUACCUUUUGGAGGGAGAAUUUUAGUAAUGAUUGUUGAUUUAGAUUUGAAAUUACUUUGGUGAUUUGGUUUUAAUAAGAAUGUUAGGCAUGAUUUCUUUCUCACUCUUACUUUUAAUUAACUUUUUAUAGAGAUAUGAAUGAAUUCUAAUGAACACAAUUGGCAAGCUAAUUGAUUUGUUUCAGAUCACAGUGAGCGAUCAGUAUGCUGGCAACAUUGAUAUACUAUUCAAGGAUGUCAAACAGUUUUUGGGUUAAUUUUCUGGCAGAGGUUAGUUGGGGAAACUGCUUAAAAUAUGUACUGUUUUUGAUUUUCAACUAAGUGCCUGGUUUUUUAAAUAUUCAGUGAAUUAAAAGAUAUCUAUUCCUUUGAAUUUAUAGUGUCUUUAAAUUAUCACACUGCCACUGGGGAGUUGCUUUGUGUAUUCUGUGCAUAUUAACAGAAUACUUUUACAUGUGUUAUGCACAUGAGAAUAUUAAAGACCAUUUUAAGAAGAUAAAGAACUCCUAUUGCAAAAAGAAAGCCAAGAAUAUGAUCCUCUGUUUAAAAAAUUAUUUUUAAAAGUUGCCUCAAAAUCAAGAGUGGUCAAAACAAGUCCUGAAAGCAUCCAUUUAAAGAAAAAUAAAGCACAACUCCAAGAGGUUACUGUUUUGCCAGAGUUCUCACUUUAAAGGUUUUGCUUAAAUAAAUCCCAGUGAAAUGACAUUCUUUUACAGUGUUAAGAACAAUGAGCGGGUGAGAAAAUAUAUUAUGACAUAGUUAAACACAAGGCUAUAAUUUCUAAACUGCAUAAAUUACAUGUUUUCCCUAUUAUGAUACAGACAGCCAAACUGAACAUUUUUGAAAGAAAAUGACCAACGUAUGAUUAAUUGCAAGCUCACAGAUUUUGCAGCUUCAAGAGUAAAUCAACUGCUAAGAAGUGCUAACUUGCUAAAAUAUAAACUAAUUUUAGUCUCUAGAUAUUAAAAUAUAAUUCAUCUUCCUCCUCCAUUGGGAAAGCUAAUUAGAAAUUGUGACUGGCAGAAGGAGGAGAACCCAGAGAACACAAGGAUUAAGUUCACACGCUUAAAACCUGAGCCCGGAAAAAGUGGCCAGAUUUUUUAUCCUUUACGUUUCACAUAUUUGAGUUUCCUGAAACCAGCUUACGGUAAUGGCUGCUGCCCAAAUGUGCAAGUGACAGAAGAGAGAAUUUGUGAAAAGAACACGUUUAGUUAACAUAGAAUGCUAUAAAUAUAAUGUGGAGAUAUAGAGAAAUGGCCCAUGGAUUCCAUUUGUACAAAUUCUCAAAAAAAUCUGAUUGUGCACAUGUAACACAUCUAACUGCUAAGGUUUUGGAAAAGCCUUCAGAUAAGUGGCAAUUGUGUUUUGAACCUCUGUAUUCUAGGAAAUCUCACAAACUUGUGAGCGAGUCUUGACUUCAAGUUGGCUUUACCUGGGCUCUGAGCAUUCUUUCACUGGAAGUUAAGGUAAACAUUUACAGGGUUGGAAAUGCAUAAUGAAUAAAUAGACUGUCUUACACAUUCAGAGUUCUCAUUGAUAA